UUGAAUCUGGGCCCAGCGCUUAGCUGCGCGGGUCCGACCUUUCACACUUGUUUAUUGUGCUACUUGCUUCCAGCGGACCGCGAGGGACGCUGGGAGGAUACAACUCAAGAUUUAUUCUUUAUAACACCUAGUCAUGAAAUUUAAAAAUAAAAUAUUCA
rnacentral:misc_RNA from 1 species